UACGUAUGGGGCAAGCGUUAUCCGGAUUUACUGGGUGUAAAGGGAGCGUAGGCGGCGGGGCAAGCCUGAUGUGAAAGCCCGGGGCUCAACCCCGGGACUGCAUUGGGAACUGCCCUGCUGGAGUGCCGGAGGGGCAGGCGGAAUUCCUAGUGUAACGGUGAAAUGCGUAGAUAUUAGGAGGAACACCAGUGGCGAAGGCGGCCUGCUGGACGGUGACUGACGCUGAGGCUCGAAAGCGUGGGGAGCAAACAGG
rnacentral:rRNA from 1 species